UACGGAGGGGGCUAGCGUUGUUCGGAAUUACUGGGCGUAAAGCGCACGUAGGCGGCUUUGUAAGUUAGAGGUGAAAGCCCAGGGCUUAACCCUGGAAUUGCCUUUAAGACUGCAUCGCUAGAAUCGUGGAGAGGUGAGUGGAAUUCCGAGUGUAGAGGUGAAAUUCGUAGAUAUCAGGAGGAACACCUGCGGUGUAGACGGCUUACUGGACCACUUCUGACGCUGAGACACGAAAGCGUGGGUAGCAAACAGG
rnacentral:rRNA from 1 species